UACGGAGGAUCCAAGCGUUAUCCGGAAUCAUUGGGUUUAAAGGGUCCGUAGGCGGUUUGGUAAGUCAGUGGUGAAAGCCCAUCGCUCAACGGUGGAAACGGCCAUUGAUACUGCCAGACUUGAAUUAUUAGGAAGUAACUAGAAUAUGUAGUGUAGCGGUGAAAUGCUUAGAGAUUACAUGGGAUACCAAUUGCGAAGGCAGGUUACUACUAAUGGAUUGACGCUGAUGGACGAAAGCGUGGGUAGCGAACAGG
rnacentral:rRNA from 1 species